rnacentral:rRNA from 1 species
CCUACGGGUGGCUGCAGUGGGGAAUAUUGGACAAUGGGGGCAACCCUGAUCCAGCCAUGCCGCGUGUGUGAAGAAGGCCCUCGGGUUGUAAAGCACUUUCAGUGAGGAAGAACGCCUGGUGGUUAAUACCCAUCAGGAAAGACAUCACUCACAGAAGAAGCACCGGCUAACUCCGUGCCAGCAGCCGCGGUAAUACGGAGGGUACGAGCGUUAAUCGGAAUUACUGGGCGUAAAGCGCGCGUAGGUGGCUUGAUAAGCCGGUUGUGAAAGCCCCGGGCUCAACCUGGGAACGGCAUCCGGAACUGUCAAGCUAGAGUGCAGGAGAGGAAGGUAGAAUUCCCGGUGUAGCGGUGAAAUGCGUAGAGAUCGGGAGGAAUACCAGUGGCGAAGGCGGCCUUCUGGACUGACACUGACACUGAGGUGCGAAAGCGUGGGUAGCAAACAGGAUUAGAUACCCUAGUAGUC